AGCGGGCUGAGGGCGGGCGGUUGGAGCUCGCGCACGGCGGCGACGGCGCGCUGUCCCCGCUGCAGCCCACCCCGGACCUGCACCACGCUCCCCUGUUGUUACACACAGAGCCCCGAGGCGCGGCGUUGGAGUUGAUGCCGCAGCACGCGCGGGCGGCGUUGCCACACCAUCACUAUGUGCCGCAGCGGCGGAGCGCGCUGGGCGCGGGGGGCGGCG